rnacentral:rRNA from 1 species
ACACUCCUGCGGGAGGCAGCAGUGGGGAAUUUUGGACAAUGGGCGAAAGCCUGAUCCAGCAAUGCCGCGUGAGUGAAGAAGGCCUUCGGGUUGUAAAGCUCUUUUGUCAGGGAAGAAACGGUGAGAGCUAAUAUCUCUUGCUAAUGACGGUACCUGAAGAAUAAGCACCGGCUAACUACGUGCCAGCAGCCGCGGUAAUACGUAGGGUGCAAGCGUUAAUCGGAAUUACUGGGCGUAAAGCGUGCGCAGGCGGUUUUGUAAGUCUGAUGUGAAAUCCCCGGGCUCAACCUGGGAAUUGCAUUGGAGACUGCAAGGCUAGAAUCUGGCAGAGGGGGGUAGAAUUCCACGUGUAGCAGUGAAAUGCGUAGAUAUGUGGAGGAACACCGAUGGCGAAGGCAGCCCCCUGGGUCAAGAUUGACGCUCAUGCACGAAAGCGUGGGGAGCAAACAGGAUUAGAAACCCCGGUAGUCCCAUG